rnacentral:rRNA from 1 species
AUUGAACGCUGGCGGCAGGCCUAACACAUGCAAGUCGAGCGGAUGACGGGAGCUUGCUCCUGGAUUCAGCGGCGGACGGGUGAGUAAUGCCUAGGAAUCUGCCUGGUAGAGGGGGACAACGCCUCGAAAGGAACGCUAAUACCGCAUACGUCCUACGGGAGAAAGCAGGGGACCUACGGGCCUUGCGCUAUCAGAUGAGCCUAGGUCGGAUUAGCUUGUUGGUGAGGUAAUGGCUCACCAAGGCGACGAUCAGUAACUGGUCUGAGAGGAUGAUCAGUCACACUGGAACUGAGACACGGUCCAGACUCCUACGGGAGGCAGCAGUGGGGAAUAUUGGACAAUGGGCGAAAGCCUGAUCCAGCCAUGCCGCGUGUGUGAAGAAGGUCUUCGGAUUGUAAGGCACUUUAAGUUGGGAGGAAGGGUUGUAGAUUAAUACUCUGCAAUUUUGACGUUACCGACAGAAUAAGCACCGGCUAACUCUGUGCCAGCAGCCGCCGUAAUAC